rnacentral:rRNA from 1 species
UACGUAGGCAGCAAGCGUUGUUCGGAGUUACUGGGCGUAAAGAGUCUGUAGGCGGUGCUCUAAGUUUGGUGUGAAAUCUCCCGGCUUAACCGGGAGGGUGCGCCGAAGACUGGGGUGCUGGAGUCUGGGAGAGGAAAGCGGAAUUCCUGGUGUAGCGGUGAAAUGCGCAGAUAUCAGGAAGAACGCCCGUGGCGAAGGCGGCUCUCUGGAACGCAACUGACGCUGAGACGCGAAAGCGUGGGGAGCAAACAGG